rnacentral:lncRNA from 1 species
UCGGCUGCCACCCGAGCAGGGGCGCCUCGGUCCUUCGCACCCCGCCGUCCCUCCGCUGAAGACCGUGCGCCCCGGAGUGGGUCUAACGCAACCCUGAGCUCGGGUUCUGCAGAGGACCGGGUCCCCUGCCCCUGCCUGCAGACACUCCUCCGACCGCGGACCUAGCUGGCCCUCCCUCUCCUUGCCUUCAUCGUGAACGAAAAAUCCUACCUAGAAUGGGAGAUGCUAAUACACAAUGAUCGGAAAGAAUUCAAUUUUGUGUAUCCCUUUGUAAUUCCAAGUAUGAAUUGCAGGUCUAAUGAUCUCUCUCUGGCCCAAGGAAUUCCCCAAUUUUCUAAAGCUUUAAAACCUACACUACUUUAUUUUACAUCCCUUCUAAAUAUGUCAAAUUCGUCUCUUGUGAGUUCAUGAAAUAUUCGCCAAGAAUUUGCUCAAGCUGGGCACAUAUGGCAGGCAGAUCUCUCUUUAAUUUACAGGUGAUGUCUGCUGGGACAAUGGCGCACAAGCAGAGGAGAUAUUCAUCAGCUGUACAUCUGCUGUUCCUUGCUGCCCCACAAGCCCAGAAUUCUGGUUGUCUUACAAUGUUCGGAGGUUCAGUGACAUGUGUGUUUCAUCUUUGAUUGCCAUUCCUUGCUCAUCACUAAGCUGAAGAUAGAGUGUUGGUAGAAUGCUUACAUAUCAAGGAAUAAAAGCAAUUGAGCUGGUUGUGCAGUGUUUCCAAUAUUCUGGUAAGAACAAAAUGCAUAUGCAUGUACAAGCUGAAAUGUGAACUGGAUAAUUUCAGUGAUUCCACUAUAAAGUAAAUGCUCUUAUAUUUGCACUUAAAACUGGUAGUGCACAAUAUAAAAAUGAACAAUAAUAGUCAAGCUAAUAAAUUAAAUUUUCCAUUUUUAAAACUUAGAAUGACGUUAAAUAAAUGAAAAAAACCCACACCACAAGUUCGGAGACACACUACAGAAGAAAGGGAACAUCUUUAUAUUCUAGUACUUUAACAGCCCUUUUUAUUUCCAAGCUCCACAAAUUAUGUAGCUGUCCUGCUUCAAAAUCUGUCAUUCAUGUUGCAUUGUAACUUAUGAAAACCCACGCUUCUUCUUUAAAACUAUUGUCUCUGUUGUGAGUUCUUAAAGUUCAUUUUGAAAACUACAAAUCAAGAAUCGAUUCUUUUCUUUGUUUCUAAAUCUCUGCUGUGCUACCUCUGUACCCCAAGAAAAUGGACAGGAGUAUAGGAAAUGCAGGAAAGCCACAUUGGUUAAUACCUCAAAACACUACCCCCCUAUAUUAAAAACAAAAACAGAACAAAAUCUAGCAGCUAUAAAUUCCUUGAAGGCAGGGACUUUUUUUCUUCCUCCUGGGUUUACCACAGUGUUUUCCUUUUUUCUUGUAAUAAGGACCUAAUAGCUAUUUGUCCCUUUCCUCAACAAGUGUUUGUUCAAUUAAUUUUUUUGUUUUGUUUUGUUUUGUUUUGUUUUUUGA